rnacentral:rRNA from 1 species
UACGAAGGGAGCUAGCGUUGUUCGGAAUCACUGGGCGUAAAGCGCACGUAGGCGGAUUUGUCAGUCAGGGGUGAAAUCCCGGGGCUCAACCCCGGAACUGCCCUUGAAACUGCAGUGCUAGAAUUCUGGAGAGGCGAGUGGAAUUCCGAGUGUAGAGGUGAAAUUCGUAGAUAUUCGGAAGAACACCAGUGGCGAAGGCGACUCGCUGGACAGACAUUGACGCUGAGGUGCGAAAGCGUGGGGAGCAAACAGG